rnacentral:rRNA from 1 species
UACAGAGGGUGCGAGCGUUAUUCGGAAUUACUGGGCGUAAAGCGCGCGUAGGCGGCUUUGCAAGUCGUGUGUGAAAUCCCCAGGCUUAACCUGGGAACUGCAUUCGAGACUGCAUAGCUAGAGUAUGGGAGAGGGAAGUGGAAUUUCAGGUGUAGCGGUGAAAUGCGUAGAUAUCUGAAGGAACAUCAGUGGCGAAAGCGACUUCCUGGACCAAUACUGACGCUGAUGUGCGAAAGCGUGGGGAGCAAACAGG